GAGGAGAAGGACUCUUGACAUUCGUUUAUGUGCCUUGUCUAUGGCAUCUGUUAGUGAUUCCAGACGUUUUAGCACCCGGGCAACAGCACUUGGACAGUGGAUUGCUGAAAGGAAAAAUACGAGUUGGUUGUGAUGGUUGUAUGAUGUUCAAGCCCAAUGAGGAGAUGGUGAUAAGUGUGCUUAAAGCUGCUACUGUCUUUGGUGGCAUAUUUCAAUGUGUUGUUCGUCUGUCAUGUCACAUCCAUGCAACAUAUAACAUAUAAGGAUAACGAAACGUAAGCAUGGAAAAUAAAUAGAAGAUUAUCAAUG